rnacentral:rRNA from 1 species
GAUGAACGCUGGCGGCGUGCCUAAUACAUGCAAGUCGAGCGAACGGACGAGAAGCUUGCUUCUCUGAUGUUAGCGGCGGACGGGUAAGUAACACGUGGAUAACCUACCUAUAAGACUGGGAUAACUUCGGGAAACCGGAGCUAAUACCGGAUAAUAUUUUGAACCGCAUGGUUCAAAAGUGAAAGACGGUCUUGCUGUCACUUAUAGAUGGAUCCGCGCUGCAUUAGCUAGUUGGUAAGGUAACGGCUUACCAAGGCAACGAUGCAUAGCCGACCUGAGAGGGUGAUCGGCCACACUGGAACUGAGACACGGUCCAGACUCCUACGGGAGGCAGCAGUAGGGAAUCUUCCGCAAUGGGCGAAAGCCUGACGGAGCAACGUCGCGUGAGUGAUGAAGGUCUUCGGAUCGUAAAACUCUGUUAUUAGGGAAGAACAUAUGUGUAAGUAACUGUGCACAUCUUGACGGUACCUAAUCAGAAAGCCACGGCUAACUACGUG